rnacentral:lncRNA from 1 species
GGCAGAAGCUGACGAAAUCCCAGGGCCUGACCAGGAAGAUCAGGCACUCCAUGAAAGAGAAACAAAGAAGUUCCUCUGCAGGAAGAAGAAGAGAGGGAAAGAGAAAAGCAACCAAUCCCAAGCCCCUGCCGUGAGCAAACACUUCACACACAAGGCCUCUCUUUGGUUCAACCUCACGUAGGCAAUGUUAUUGCGCCACUUUACAGACGAGGACCUGGAGACUUAAAGGGACAGCAGAUGGCCUUGCUGUCUACUUCAUGGAGAAUAUCAAGACUCUCAAGGAUGAAUUUCCGUGCUGAUAAAUUAAUGAGAGUUCACAGGAGUCAUGCAUGAAAAUCAAUCUGAUUACUUUAUUAGCCAC